AGGAUGAACGCUGGCGGCGUGCCUAAAACAUGCAAGUCAUACGGGCUGCCUUCGGGUAGCCAGUGGCAAACGGGUGAGUAACACGUGGGAACGCGCCUUGGGGUGGGGAAUAACGCUGAGAAAUCAGUGCUAAUACCGCAUAUGGUCUAACGACUAAAGCAGCAAUGCGCCCCGAGAGCGGCCCGCGACCGAUUAGCUAGUUGGUGGGGUAAUGGCCUACCAAGGCGGUGAUCGGUAGCUGGUCUGAGAGGAUGGUCAGCCACACUGGGACUGCGAACGGCCCAGACUCCUACGGGAGGCAGCAGUUAGGAAUUUUCGGCAAUGGACGAAAGUCUGACCGAGCGACGCCGCGUGGAGGAUGACGCCUUUCGGGGUGUAAACUCCUUUUUCUGCGGGAAGAUAAUGACGGUACGCAGGAAUAAGCACCGGCUAACUACGUGCCAGCAGCCGC
rnacentral:rRNA from 1 species